rnacentral:rRNA from 1 species
AGAGUUUGAUCCUGGCUCAGGACGAACGCUGGCGGAGUGCUUAAUACAUGCAAGUCGGACGAGAAAGCGGUCUUCGGACUGUGAGUAAAGUGGCGAACGGGUGAGUACAACGUAGGAAUCUACCUUAUGGACGGGGAUAACGCCGGGAAACUGACGCUAAGACCCGAUAUGCAGAGAUGUGAAAUGUGGCUACACAAGUAGCUGCAGCUAUGAGAGGAGCCUGUGCCCCAUUAGCUAGUUGGCGGGAUAAAAGCCCACCAAGGCGACGAUGGGUAGGGGUCCUGAGAGGGAGACCCCCCACACUGGGACUGAGAUACGGCCCAGACUCCUACGGGAGGCAGCAGUAGGGAAUAUUGCACAAUGGAGGAAACUCUGAUGCAGCAACUCCGCGUGAGUGAAGAAGGCCUUUGGGUUGUAAAGCUCUGUUGAGAAGGAAGAAAGGCUUUAUUGUGAACAGCAGUAGAGCAGGGACGGUACUUUUCGAGGAAGCUCCGGCUAAUUACGUGCCAGCAGCUGCGGUAAUACGUAAGGAGCGAGCGUUGUCCGGAAUCAUUGGGCGUAAAGGGUGCGCAGGCGGUAUGGAAGGUCAGUUGUGAAAGCCACAGGCUCAACUUGUGGAGUGCAAUUGAAACCAUCAUGUUAGAGAGCAGGAGAGGUAAGCGGAAUUCCAUGUGUAGCGGUGAAAUGCUUAGAUAUGCGGAGGAACACCGAUGGCGAAGGCAAUCCCCUGGGCCUGCACUGACGCUCAUGCACGAAAGCGUGGGGAGCAAACAGGAUUAGAUACCCUGGUAGUCCACGCAGUAAACGGUGAACACUAGGUGUAGCGGGUAUUGACCCCUGCUGUGCCGAAGCUAACGCAUUAAGUGUUCCGCCUGGGAAGUACGGCCGCAAGGUUAAAACUCAAAGGAAUUGACGG